rnacentral:lncRNA from 11 species
ACGCAAACAGCUGCAACCAACUCGUUGCGACUAAGUUGGGUAAAAUCACACAACAUCAAUUUAAGAUCGCAUUCUUUUGAAAUGCGAUAUUAAAUCUAGCAACACUGUUCUGAUUUUGUUGCGCACGCGUGCUCGGCCUCAAGCCGCCAUUUUCAGUUUACCGCAACCGAUGGAUGUUGUGUUUUGGAAAAUCAUUGACGGUGUUGAUACAUAUGCAAUGAGUGAUGUUCCGAUGCCAAGGAACUUCAUUGGGAAUAUUUUUUCUGAAAAUCUUCAAUUCCAGCAUUCUUAAAUGACGGAACACAACUGUUGCUGUCCGAAAUCAGCCUAUCAGCGGCCUAAAGAACGCCGUCAAGAGUGAAUCCUUGAAAAUAUGGAGAAAGCUCGUCGGAUCGAGUGAAACCAAAAGGAAUCGAGUGCGAAAAAAAGCGACUACCCAGCGCUCCACGCUAAAGAAUCGUUAUCGAUUCCUCCAAACUACAGGUCAACCCAAUGCGUUGGCAGCAUCUACGUCUUGCUUGCUCAGCGAUGGAUCAAAGAACGUAUUCCGGUAGCAGUUCGGUGUACCUGUUUCCUCAAGCUGUAACAAAUUUCCAACCGGAAGAAUCAACAAUAAAAGGGGAUGUUGCGCUGGAAGCUACAUCAUCCUCAUCUACAAAACUUCCGCCACACCAACGUUUCGUCAACAGACAGCGUGGACCUCAAUCUGGUAAAUAUAAACCAUUGGAUGAAGGCUACGAUUCCAUCGCACAUGGCAAAAAACGAACCAUUCCUGGCUGGUCCACCGAAUUCACACGGGUGACCAUGAUUUCGCUCUACAUGGGAUGUAGCGGAGACACCAGCUGCUCCGCUGUUUUGGAACGGCACGAAAAACAUG